rnacentral:rRNA from 2 species
UAGGGAAUCUUCGGCAAUGGACGAAAGUCUGACCGAGCAACGCCGCGUGAGUGAAGAAGGUUUUCGGAUCGUAAAACUCUGUUGUUAGAGAAGAACAAGGACGUUAGUAACUGAACAUCCCCUGACGGUAUCUAACCAGAAAGCCACGGCUAACUACGUGCCAGCAGCCGCGGUAAUACGUAGGUGGCAAGCGUUGUCCGGAUUUAUUGGGCGUAAAGCGAGCGCAGGCGGUUUCUUAAGUCUGAUGUGAAAGCCCCCGGCUCAACCGGGGAGGGUCAUUGGAAACUGGGAGACUUGAGUGCAGAAGAGGAGAGUGGAAUUCCAUGUGUAGCGGUGAAAUGCGUAGAUAUAUGGAGGAACACCAGUGGCGAAGGCGGCUCUCUGGUCUGUAACUGACGCUGAGGCUCGAAAGCGUGGGGAGCAAACAGG